rnacentral:lncRNA from 1 species
GAGGCGCAUUCUUUCAACAAGGGGAGGUUUGAACCAAUGGGAACAAUAGUACUUUUAUGAAAGUUAAUGGAGAAUCUUGAGAUCAAUUCAAAAGAGUAAAGUAGAACCUUGGGAGCAGAAAUAUUAAUCUUAUCAGCUUCAACAAAGAUAAGCGUAUCAUCAGUAUAUUAAAGUAUCUUAAUUAGAGCCACCAACAGACCAAGCAUUAUUGAGGCUAGAGAAGAGAUUAGCAGAGGCUGUAUUGUUCAAAAGCUGGCCAAGGGAUCUACAAUAAGAAUAAAGAGAUAAGGAACA